UUGAUUGAUUCAAAAUCAAUUUACUGUGAACUAUAGUUGUACCAUGAAGAAAAUAUAAAAUACAAAUAUUUGUAUGUGAAGUGCGGAAUUCUUCGUCUCUCGAAAUUUUUAACUAUAUGAUGUUAAUGUUAAAUCGAAUAAUGUAUAAAUAUCAUAAAGAACUAAAGCUGUACUUCUCCGGAGAAUGGAUUCCGAGAAGGCUUGAAGAUCAAAAAAAUGAAGAUAGCCGUAAUCGACGGACUCAUCAUGGUUAUCCUUUCCUCGCUGAAUCUCUACCAUUACGCUAGCGAAAAAUAUACUCUCAUUUACACAAUCUAUAGCUCGAAUCGACAAAUCCGUAUACCACAUUCCAGAUAUUCGAUUGGUUUUCGUUGAGAUGAUAGCCUCGUCUUCCAAAUAUGCGGCUUCGUACAGCGAAGCGAAUAAUCAAAACCAAAAACAACAAAACAUCUAUAGAAAAACACCCAGAGAACAUUGAAGAAACAACUAAAAGAAUUGAUGAGAGAUCCAAAUAAACUAGCAAUUUUUAGUGCCCACGUCGGAAACGAUUCAACUUUCAAUGAAGAAAUAGCCCUUCUGUAUUAACAUUUCUGCGACUUGCGGGUAUAUUAGAUGCCAUAAAUGGAAGAAAAACAACAGCGAAAAAAAAAAACGAAUAUGAUAAUUUUAUAUUCAGAGAUAUGCCAACGUUAUCGGAUCAUAGAAAAACUCAUUAAAUAUCCAUAUUAAAUCGAACUCAUGGAGGCAGCUUCUUUGCAGCGACAGUACAAUAAUAGUGGUCUGAUCCAAAGAACUCAUUGAAGAAUCGGGAUCAACGAGUAUUUUUUCAUGCAACUACCAGACAAGACACGCUCAAUAUACUCAAAUUGGAUACAAUGUACUGUUGGAGUUUAUUGCGACGAUGAACUAAAGUUUAGAGCCAUUUUCGGGACGCAAAAGAACUCAACACAAAACAAUACGAAGCGUUAUGAAUACGAGAUAUUUGUGAACUAAAGGGGAGAAAUAGUCUUCUACUGCGGAAUUUGAAGCCUAUAUAAGAGCUUCUUUUGAAAAUUUAUCACCCCAUUAUGUGUCCGACAUAAUGAUUGACAAAGCACAAUGAGCAGCAGUUAGCAUCCAGUGCACGAAAAUGAUCCACUGCUUUUUUAUGCAAAUAACUAAAGCCAACGAAUAUUUCCACCUAUAGGUAUGAUUUCAUUCGAUUAUCUCUCAUACAAAAAAUUUUACUAGGAUAGCCUACAUGUGUAGUUUUUUCAGGGCGUCAUCUGAUUUGAAAAUUCAUGUGCAAUUUUUUUAAAGUACAAGACGUCUUAAAAAUACUCAACAUAUAAGUUUAAAGAUGAAUGAUAAUGAUCGAAGUAAUUUUUUAAUUAAAAUUAUAUUGCUUACUAGGAUAAUUACAUAGUUAAUUACUCAAAUAAAAUCAAAUUCUCAUUUCAA